UAACAUCCGCAGGCGGGCCGCCCCCCAGGCUGGGCUGGGCAAGUAUCUCUUCGAAAGGCUCACCCUCAAGCAGGACUAGGAGC
rnacentral:pre_miRNA from 1 species